rnacentral:lncRNA from 10 species
GUAAUAAAAUAAGCAAGUAAGACACACAGUAGAGCAGGCAGAGUUGGCGGAGAACUGGAUCUAACUGGGUUGGGGUUUUGCCAAGCAAGUACAGUCCAACUUGGAGUGUGGAGGGAAGGGUAUAGAAAAGGUAGGGACUAGAAUAACUAACCCUGGAAUUUAGGCUGGGAAAGGAGGGAGUAGGGAUUUGAAAGCGGGUGAGGUCAGUAGUCUGUGGGGCCCUGAGGGGCGAUGGCUCCAAGGCACGAGCCGGAAAGAGGUUUGACAGUGGCUUCUCUGGAGGGCUCAAGCUUGACCAGGAAACUGAGUGCCGAGCCCUGGAAGAUCACUGGGGAGAGGAGGUCAAAGAACUGGGAGGCCAGGGCACCAUCGGCGGGCUGGCCUGAGCAUUAGAAGACUGAGAAACACCUGGGAGGAUCUUGUUUCAACAGAGCUCAAAGCCGUGGCAAAAGGACGGAGCUCGAAUUGUGCAAUUAAACCCAGGCCCCCAGCAAAUGGAAAAUGCCAUCCACUGGCACAGAGACUUCAGUUGGGAGCCGAGGACUGAACUCAGACCACCAUUCUUUGUUCAACAUUUCUUCCUGAGGGGCCUGGAGGAAGUCACACCCACAGGCCAGAGCUCAACAUUCCUUUCUGCUGACCCCAGGCACCAGUCCAUGGCACUCCCUAUGCCUGCAGGAUACCACAUCAAAGCAGAGUUGGGGGAGCAUUUCAGGAGGUUCCUGUGAAAAACCUACAUGCACACACCCCCACGUGCAGCUGCAGACUGCUAUCUAUACACGAAGUUAUGCAUCGCAGAGUCGACUGCAAAAGGCUGGAGCCCACACAGCGUCUAUCAAUAGGGAACGGGUUAAAUCGACCACAAGAUUUCCAUAUGACGAUGGAACACUUUCCAGCCAAGAAAGGAGGAGGAAGUCCUCACUGCUCUGAUACGGAACAGUCACCAAGACAUAUUUUAAGUAAAAAAAAGGCAGCAUGCAUAACCAGGGAAAUGAAAACUAAAACCACAGUGAGUUACAAUUUCACACAGAUCCAUCUACAAAAAAAAAAAAGCUGAUAAUUGCAGGUGUUGGUGAAGAAGUGGAGUGAGGGGAAUGCUCAAACUACUAGUGGGUGUGCGAAUGGUUAUAACCACUUUUUAAAAUUUUGGCAUUAUCUACUGAAGUUGACAAUGUACUUUCCCAAUGGCCUUGCAAAUGCCCUGGAGAAGUUCUUACCCAACCCCCGCCAUUCCCCCCAACACACACCAAAAGAAACAAUUAAGAACAUUUGCACCAGCUCUGUUCCUAGAACCCCAAAACUGAGGCCAGCACUGAGGCCAAGCACAGUGGCUCAUGCCUGUAAUCCCAGCAGGCAUGAGCCACCCUUUGGGAGCCUGAGGCCGGAGGAUUAUUGAGGUUGAGAGUUCAAGACCAGCCUGGGCAACAUAGUGAGACCUUGUCUCUAUAAAAGAAGUUUUAAAAAUUAGCCAGGUGUGAUGGCUCAUGCUUGUAGUCCCAGCUAAUUGGGAGGCUGAGGUAGGAGGAUCGUUUCUUGAGCCCUGGAGGUUGAGGCUGCAGUGAGCCAUGAUUGCACCACUGCACUCCAGCCUGGGCAACAGAAUGAGACCCUGUCUCAAAAAAUAAAAUUAAAUUAGAAAACAAUAAUAAUUAUUAUUAAUAAAUAAAAUAGUCCAAUGAAAAUAAUCAUACUAUCUCCAUGCAAUGGAAUUCUAUACAAGAGUGAAAAUGAACUAACUCCGGACAUGCGUAUCAGUACACUGAACUUCAGAACUAUAAUUAUGGGUGGGACAAAAGCCAGCCAUAGAAAACUAUUCUAUUCAUAAUCCCAAAAAGGUAGUAUACCAUAUUCAAUUAUUAUAUAUAUUUAUGUCUUGUUAUAUAUAAUGUUUAUUACAUUUAUCUUAGUAUAAAAAUAUAGUAUAUUUAUCAUAAUCUAUUAUAAACAAGUAGUAGGAUUAUAAAAAGACAAAAAGGGCAGGAUAAGCGUAAAAUUCAUGAUAGUAUUUAGGGGAAGAGGAGGGUGGGGCUGGAGAGAGGCACAUGGUUUCAAAAGCCCAGCUUCUUUGUCUAAAACAGGGCGUGGGUACCCAUACUGGUCUAUUGUAUUGUGGGUGUCUUUAAAAUGUAUAUAUAUUCUAUAACUACUAUUUUUGUAUCUACUCAAUAUUUAAUUUUAAAAUUUUAAAUGAGGCCUAGAACACUAUAAAAAGUAUGCUACCAUUUGUAUAGAAAAAGUGGACACACACAUCACUCAUGUGCAUAGAUUAAAGUGUCUCUGGAAACUUACACAUGCAACUGGUGAAACUGGUUUCCUCUGGGGAGGAGAACUGGGAGGCUGGGGACAAGGAGGGGCAAUAAAUCAAUUGAAAUUAAAAAUCACAAAAUUUAAGGAGAAGGAGACAAAGAAGGGAAGGAGGAAGAGAAGGGAGGGUGGAGGGGAGAGGCCAAGUCCUGGUCCCAGGAGGGACAGGGAGCAGAAAGAGGAGGACUGGCCAGGCUCUGGCUAUCAAAACCUGUGUGUGCCACAGGCACGAGUGGAGCCAGAAGCCUGCAGUCCUGCCCAGGAAAGCCUGUGUCCUCCGCGCACAACUCAGGCUUAGACCCAGAGAAUGCUCUUUCUUGCACCUGAGGACGGGGCUGGCUUCAAACAGUUGCCCAGGUUGACCCUGGCUCUGCAGUCUUUUGUUUCCAGAGCUUUGCUUCCAAACGAGGCUCCCUUGGGUCUCUUUCCCUGGCCCUGCCUUCUUAUCUCCAACCUUCACCCCACCUGUGAUCCAAGCGAUUCCUUUGAAGUUGCUUCAGAGUCUUCUGAGCCUUCAUCCUUGAUGACUCUGAAAUGUGCGUCUGUGGCACCAAGGUCAGCCAACAGCAAGUAGGCCCUUUUCAUCUCCUUUUAAACCUUCCCCUCAAGGACUCAGUGUCCUUGCUGUAUUGCCUUAUCAAAACCUGCUCACAUAUCCUUUGUUCACACUGGGAUACCGGUCAUUUAAAGGAAAACAGGCCCACUCUAACCAGGGUCACUGCCAAGUCCCUAAGUAUCAUGCCCUUGAGAGGUAAAAGCAUAAAGCACUAAGGGUAGAAUUUUGGGCAACAGCCAGUGGACAAGGACAAAAUGGGUGCAAUAUGCAGGGGUCCCUUCUGCCCCACCGGUAACCAUAACACCUCAGGACACAGGCUGGGGUCUGUAUUCAAAAGUGGGUCCCUCAGACCGGGCACAGUGGCUCACGCCUAUAAUCCCAGCACUUUGGGAAGCCAAGGCCAGCGGAUCCCUUGAGCCCAGGAGUUUGUGACCAGCCUGAGCAACAUGGCGAAACCCCAUCUCUACAAAAAAUACCAAAAUUAGUCUAGUCGGGCAUGGUGGUGCACACACCUAUGGUCCCAGCUAUUUGGGAGGCUGAGGGGGGAGAAUCGCUUGAGCCCCAGGAGGCAGAGAUUGCAGUGAGCUGUGAUCGAGCCACUGCACUCCAGCCUGGGCAACAGAGUGAGACCCUAUCUCAAGAAAACAAAAACAGAAAGUAAAAAAGCAAUCCUCGAGCAAAAGUGGGUCCCUCAGAGCCCAAUGACAGUGAUGAGGAGGAUGAGGUGGGAAAGGUAGUGUUACUCUGAACUAAAAAGGACUGCCCAGUGUGACCCUAUCUCCCAAACAGCCCAUGCAGGGAUCUGGGUGGCACCAUAGUACAGAAGUGGGUGCCAAGAGAGGCCUGGGCUGCACAGCCAGGUGCAUACAUGCCCUGGAGUCCAGGACAGGAUCAGCAGCAAAUCCACUCCAGGGAGCUCUCCCCCCUCACCAUCCUCUCAAUCAGGGUUCCCCAGUUGAAAAGCACCUUGGCAGUUCAUAAUUCUCCCUCUAAAGCCAGAAAGUGCUGUAAAGGAUAACAGAAGCCUGGCUGCACAGUGGAGCUUAAUGGAAGUCAUUCAACAAGCAGGUCUGGAGCAAACAUCAUGGACCAGCAGUACUGUGUGUUGGCACAGAUGUGAAGCAACUAUACUCUGAUACGGCUUGGAUAUGUGUCCCCACCCAAAUCUCAUAUUGAAUUUUAAUUCCCAGUGUUAGAGGAGGGGCCGGGUGGGAGGUGACUGGAUCAUGGGGGCAGAUUUCCCCCUUACUGUUCUCACGAUAGUGAGUUCUCAGAUCUGGUUAUUUUAAAGUGUGUAGCACCUCCCACUUUGCUCCCUUCCUCCUGCUUUGGCCAUGUAAGAUGUGCCUGCUUCGCCUUCCCCUUCCGCCAUGAUUCUAUGUUUCCUGAGGCCUCCCCAGCCAUGCUUCCUAUACAGUCUGCAGAACCGUGAG